rnacentral:tRNA from 1 species
UCCCGACUAGUUCUGUUGGUUGAGCAUGAGACUCAUAAUCUCAGGUACUGGGUUCAUGUCCCAUGUUGGGCA